GACGAACGCUGGCGGCGUGCCUAAUACAUGCAAGUCGAACGAACUCUGGUAUUGAUUGGUGCUUGCAUCAUGAUUUACAUUUGAGUGAGUGGCGAACUGGUGAGUAACACGUGGGAAACCUGCCCAGAAGCGGGGGAUAACACCUGGAAACAGAUGCUAAUACCGCAUAACAACUUGGACCGCAUGGUCCGAGCUUGAAAGAUGGCUUCGGCUAUCACUUUUGGAUGGUCCCGCGGCGUAUUAGCUAGAUGGUGGGGUAACGGCUCACCAUGGCAAUGAUACGUAGCCGACCUGAGAGGGUAAUCGGCCACAUUGGGACUGAGACACGGCCCAAACUCCUACGGGAGGCAGCAGUAGGGAAUCUUCCACAAUGGACGAAAGUCUGAUGGAGCAGCGCCGCGUGAGUGAAGAAGGGUUUCGGCUCGUAAAACUCUGUUGUUAAAGAAGAACAUAUCUGAGAGUAACUGUUCAGGUAUUGACGGUAUUUAACCAGAAAGCCACGGCUAACUACGUGCCAGCAGCCGCGGUAAUACGUAGGUGGCAAGCGUUGUCCGGAUUUAUUGGGCGUAAAGCGAGCGCAGGCGGUUUUUUAAGUCUGAUGUGAAAGCCUUCGGCUCAACCGAAGAAGUGCAUCGGAAACUGGGAAACUUGAGUGCAGAAGAGGACAGUGGAACUCCAUGUGUAGCGGUGAAAUGCGUAGAUAUAUGGAAGAACACCAGUGGCGAAGGCGGCUGUCUGGUCUGUAACUGACGCUGAGGCUCGAAAGUAUGGGUAGCAAACAGGAUUAGAUACCCUGGUAGUCCAUACCGUAAACGAUGAAUGCUAAGUGUUGGAGGGUUUCCGCCCUUCAGUGCUGCAGCUAACGCAUUAAGCAUUCCGCCUGGGGAGUACGGCCGCAAGGCUGAAACUCAAAGGAAUUGACGGGGGCCCGCACAAGCGGUGGAGCAUGUGGUUUAAUUCGAAGCUACGCGAAGAACCUUACCAGGUCUUGACAUACUAUGCAAAUCUAAGAGAUUAGACGUUCCCUUCGGGGACAUGGAUACAGGUGGUGCAUGGUUGUCGUCAGCUCGUGUCGUGAGAUGUUGGGUUAAGUCCCGCAACGAGCGCAACCCUUAUUAUCAGUUGCCAGCAUUAAGUUGGGCACUCUGGUGAGACUGCCGGUGACAAACCGGAGGAAGGUGGGGAUGACGUCAAAUCAUCAUGCCCCUUAUGACCUGGGCUACACACGUGCUACAAUGGAUGGUACAACGAGUUGCGAACUCGCGAGAGUAAGCUAAUCUCUUAAAGCCAUUCUCAGUUCGGAUUGUAGGCUGCAACUCGCCUACAUGAAGUCGGAAUCGCUAGUAAUCGCGGAUCAGCAUGCCGCGGUGAAUACGUUCCCGGGCCUUGUACACACCGCCCGUCACACCAUGAGAGUUUGUAACACCCAAAGUCGGUGGGGUAACCUUUUAGGAACCAGCCGCCUAAGGUGGGACAGAUGAUUAGGGUG
rnacentral:rRNA from 1 species